rnacentral:rRNA from 1 species
CUACGGGAUGCUGCAGUAGGGAAUUUUCGGCAAUGGAGGAAACUCUGACCGAGCAACGCCGCGUGAAUGAAGACAUAUUUCGGUAUGUAAAGUUCUUUUAUUAGGGAAGAAUAGCCCAUGGAAAAAUGGGUGUGACGGUACCUAAUGAAUAAGCCCCGGCUAACUAUGUGCCAGCAGCGCGCGGUAAUACAUAGGGGGCAAGCGUUAUCCGGAAUUAUUGGGCGUAAAGGGUGCGUAGGCGGCCAUUUAAGUCUUUGGUAUAAGUGCAGUGCUUAACGCUGUGAUGCUAAGGAAACUGAAUGGCUUGAGUGAGAUAGAGGCAAGUGGAAUUCCAUGUGUAGCGGUAAAAUGCGUAAAUAUAUGGAGGAACACCAGUGGCGAAGGCGGCUUGCUGGGUCUACACUGACGCUGAGGCACGAAAGCGUGGGGAGCAAACAGGAUUAGAUACCCUCGUAGUC